GGCUCCGUGGCGCAAUGGAUAGCGCAUUGGACUUCUAGGUCACUAGAUGAAGUGAUUCAAAGGUUGUGGGUUCGAGUCCCACCGGAGUCG
rnacentral:tRNA from 1 species